CAAAAUCCUUACAUGCAAAUGCCAUCAAAAGUACUUUUGCAAGGCUUGUAAUGAGGCUGGGCUAACAAGAAGAAUUGGUUUUUCUGGAAUGCAAGAGAGCUAUCAUAGUAUUCAACAUUUAAGCACAACUCUCUUCCUCACCAAUCUCACUCAUUCCCAACUUUUUCCCUUUUCUUUUGCAUUGAGCCCAUCUUCAUGCUUUUCUUCUUUUCUUUUCUUUUUANCAUGCAUUUUUCUUUCUCAACCUUUAAGCUCAAUGCUUUACAAUUGUUUUUCAAUUUUCCCCCAUGCAACUCCAAACUUGAACCUUUUCAUCACAUACAAUUAAGCUCAU
rnacentral:lncRNA from 1 species